CUGUGGCGCCGAAACCGGGGAUAUCCCCGAUUGUGCGUCCAGCACUUUUCGCAGUCUCCGUGCUACGGUGGAAGACCGUCUUCUCAGCGAUAAGACCUAGACCAGACGGUCUUAUAAGGGAUGCCACCAGCAGCUCUAGCACAGUCGGAGUUGAUUGGUCGGGUUCUACCCAGCAGAACUUUCGUACAGUGAGACUUGGGUCUCUUUGGACUGUACCCAUACCUAACCAGCCUGUCAGUCGGUGGCCGGUCAGUUUUUCGUCUGUUCAGUCGGGAGCAGACAACGCCAGCUUCACACCCCACCUCGGGAAACACGCGACGGUGACAUCCUUUGGACAUCAGCAGUCGCGAGGGCGACCAACCAGCGACUACGCAGAGGCAGCGCUAAUACAUCCGUGAGGCCGAAGCUCGCAGCUGAAAGAUGGCGGACCUCUGGCAGCAGCUCGGGCAGUUGAUCAUGAACGAUAUGGCGGAAUGUGCGUUCCGGAGCAUGGACGCCGACCAGGCCCGGGUAUGCAGGCUGCUCUGGAAGCUCAGGGCUACGGUCACCAGGAUAACUUUUACCGGGAAGCAGAUCGAAUUCUUCUUUGAACAGUUGUCUCGUUUCUUAGAGAACGACGAGGCCGACUUGGAGCAGGGGCUCCAGAUGAUCGUCCAGUCUGUGAUGGUGUCGAGAAAUAUUUUUGAGGGCUACAAAGAGGUUCAGGACCUGAUAGAUGAAAUUAAGCGAGAGUGGGACCGUUACAAAGCUAGAAACAUGCUUAAGUGGGAUUACUGAAAACUAUAAUCUUUGUGCUCAUUUAAUAAAAACCUCUAUUCGUUC